CUAAGGCUGAUGGCGACCGGCGCACGGGUGAGUAACACGUAUCCAACCUGCCGUCUACUCUUGGCCAGCCUUCUGAAAGGAAGAUUAAUCCAGGAUGGCAUCAUGAGUUCACAUGUCCGCAUGAUUAAAGGUAUUUUCCGGUAGACGAUGGGGAUGCGUUCCAUUAGAUAGUAGGCGGGGUAACGGCCCACCUAGUCAACGAUGGAUAGGGGUUCUGAGAGGAAGGUCCCCCACAUUGGAACUGAGACACGGUCCAAACUCCUACGGGAGGCAGCAGUGAGGAAUAUUGGUCAAUGGGCGAUGGCCUGAACCAGCCAAGUAGCGUGAAGGAUGACUGCCCUAUGGGUUGUAAACUUCUUUUAUAAAGGAAUAAAGUCGGGUAUGCAUACCCGUUUGCAUGUACUUUAUGAAUAAGGAUCGGCUAACUCCGUGCCAGCAGCCGCGGUAAUACGGAGGAUCCGAGCGUUAUCCGGAUUUAUUGGGUUUAAAGGGAGCGUAGAUGGAUGUUUAAGUCAGUUGUGAAAGUUUGCGGCUCAACCGUAAAAUUGCAGUUGAUACUGGAUGUCUUGAGUGCAGUUGAGGCAGGCGGAAUUCGUGGUGUAGCGGUGAAAUGCUUAGAUAUCACGAAGAACUCCGAUUGCGAAGGCAGCCUGCUAAGCUGCAACUGACAUUGA
rnacentral:rRNA from 1 species